rnacentral:rRNA from 1 species
AACGAACGCUGGCGGCAUGCCUAACACAUGCAAGUCGAACGAGACCUUCGGGUCUAGUGGCGCACGGGUUCGUAACGCGUGGGAACCUUCCCUUAGGUUCGGAAUAACUCCCCGAAAGGGGUGCUAAUACCGGAUAAUGUCUUCGGACCAAAGAUUUUUCGCCUUUGGUUGGGCCCGCGUUGGAUUAGCUAGUUGGUAGGGUAAAAGCCUACCAAGGCGACGAUUCAUAGGUGGUCUGAGAGGAUGAUCAGCCACACUGGGACUGAGACACGGCCCAGACUCCUACGGGAGGCGGCAGUGGGGAAUAGUGGACAGUGGGCGGAGGCCUGAUCCAGCAAUGCCGGGUGAAUGAUGAAGGCCUUGGGGUUGUAAAGCGCUUUUACCCGGGAUGAUAAUGACGGUACCGGGAGAAUAAGCUCCGGCUAACUCCGUG